rnacentral:rRNA from 1 species
UACAGAGGGUGCAAGCGUUAAUCGGAUUUACUGGGCGUAAAGCGUGUGUAGGUGGUUAGAAAAGUCGAUUGUGAAAUCCCUGGGCUCAACCCGGGAACUGCUUUCGAGACUGUCCGACUAGAAUUCGGUAGAGGGAGGCGGAACUCCAGGUGUAGCGGUGAAAUGCGUAGAUAUCUGGAAGAACACCAAUGGCGAAGGCAACCUCCUGGGCCUGAAUUGACACUGAGACACGAAAGCGUGGGGAUCAAACAGG